rnacentral:rRNA from 1 species
GGUCCAGACUCCUACGGGAGGCAGCAGUAGGGAAUCUUCCGCAAUGGGCGAAAGCCUGACGGAGCAACGCCGCGUGAGUGAUGAAGGUCUUCGGAUCGUAAAACUCUGUUAUUAGGGAAGAACAUACGUGUAAGUAACUAUGCACGUCUUGACGGUACCUAAUCAGAAAGCCACGGCUAACUACGUGCCAGCAGCCGCGGUAAUACGGAGGUGGCAAGCGUUAUCCGGAAUUAUUGGGCGUAAAGCGCGCGUAGGCGGUUUUUUAAGUCUGAUGUGAAAGCCCACGGCUCAACCGUGGAGGGUCAUUGGAAACUGUAAAACUUGAGUGCAGAAGAGGAAAGUGGAAUUCCAUGUGUAGCGGUGAAAUGCGCAGAGAUAUGGAGGAACACCAGUGGCGAAGGCGACUUUCUGGUCUGUAACUGACGCUGAUGUGCGAAAGCGUGGGGAUCAAACAGGAUUAGAUACCCUGGUAGUCCACGCCGUAAACGAUGAGUGCUAAGUGUUAGGGGGUUUCCGCCCCUUAGUGCUGCAGCUAACGCAUUAAGCACUCCGCCUGGGGAGUACGACCGCAAGGUUGAAACUCAAAGGAAUUGACGGGGACCCG